GCUGUUUUGAAGGGUUUUCAGCUGGGAGAGGACCACAUGACCUCUGUACAGCUGUUUAUGGGUUCUUUCUGACUGGAUGUGAAGCACUGAGUUCUAGAAUUCUUGGAAGACUGCCUUUUCCUCUAAGCCUGACUAAGGUCAAGUCCACCUAUAACUUCAUAUAAACGUCUUUGGGCCACGUUUACAGGAAAAGACGAUCCACUGGUUGGAAGGAACAACUGAAACUUUUGAACCGUUUCCACUCAUAGCAGAAUGUGGUUUGCUGGGAUUCGCCCACUUAGCAGCCGGUCACUAAGGCAUUCGUUGGAAAUGAGAAGUGGAGCAUCACAUCUCACCCUGCUGUAAGUGUGAGCUAUACAGAGUGCCGUUCUGCUGAGGAGUGCAUGUGGAAAGGUGAGGAAAGCAACCACAGCGGAUACAGUUGAGAAACUCUACCUCAGCCCCACGGCCAAGGGCAGCAUGAACAGUGACACAUUACGUUGGUGGCAUAUACUCACAUGAUGUGGUGAUGAGAAGAGCAUUUCCUCCCCCAAACCCGUAACCCCAUUCUAAUAAUGAGAAAACUAUCAGAAAACCCCAAACUCAGGCACAGAGUGCAAAGUGCCUGACCAGCACUCCUCAGAACUGUCAAGGUCGCCAAAAAGAUGGACAGACCCAGCAACUGCCACAGCCCAGAGGAGCCUACGAUGAGAUGAAUAAAUGUCGUAUAGUAUCCUGAAUACCAUCCAUGAGCAGGAAAAGGACAUUGGGUGAAAACCAAGGACAUCUGAAUAAGGAGCAGCCCGUACCUUCUUCCGUUGAGCUGUAUACUCUGAAGAUCUGCCCUAUGCUCAAGCUGUGCUGCCUAGAUGAGCCCACAGGAACACGCCUUGUAGCUUCAGCUUGUCUUCUCAUCUCCUGGAUGAUCAUAACCGGACUUCUGCACACGGGAGUUGAGAUGCUGGCUUGAGGUAAGCGGUGCCCUGUGCACGUCAUUCCUUACGGGUUGAUAACUGGCUCGAUAGAAAGGCUCCUUGGUGGUUGUCACUCUUCCAUGACAUAAAACAGCAUGUGCCAACUUGUUCCCUGCAUCAACCUUGCAGAGCUGGCUCCCUAGCAGCCCCCUGGAACUCCUGUGACCCCCACAAGCAGUCUUUCUCAAUCCUUUUUCAUUGGAGAGGAGUCAAAUUGGAAGUCUAAGGAAAGAGGCAAACGGGUUGUCUGAGUGGCUCUUUCAUUUAUUCUGUGUCUAUUUGCAUAGCAAUAUGUCUUUUCCACAAGUCAAACCGUCUUCUUUUCAAGGGAACAAAACCAAACAAAGCAAAAUAACCCAAAACUUUAAAAUCAUCUAGAAGCCCAGUUGAGCAUGAAAUGGAUGUUGGGAAGAACAUCAAUAAUUGUAAGAAGUGUUGCAAAUGAUCCAGAACUGGCAUGUGGAUUAAGCUAAAACUAUUAGUUUUCAUUGUAAAACAGUCAACAUCAUUCUGUUCAAGCCUUUGUUUAAACAAUCCUUAACCAGGGUAAACUGCAGCUUGAGCUUGCUGGGAGUUGACACGGCAGGUUGCGAAGGGUGGACGGUUUCCCGACGUCCCGGCGCUAUGCUCUUGAGCUUGGGGCAGGAAUGUGUGCAGCCCGCAGUCCCACAGGAAGCAGGGGAUCUGCAGAAACAGGAAUUGAAAGGCAAUUAGCUGGCAUCAGACUGGCACAAUCUGUUCAAGGGACUUGUCCGCCGGCAUGGGGUCAGUGGGAGAGGGAGCUGAGCUGGUAACAGAUCCUUCCUUCAGCCUCAGCAGUUCCCAGAGACACCGACAUGUUCUUGCCAGGACUUAGGGCCAGCAGAGCAGAGGGCUGCAGUUUUCAAUUUUUUUUUUUUACCCAUGCAGAGGAUUUUUAUAUCCAGACGGGGAGGACCUACAUUUUUAUAAAGCAGUAUGCUUUGGGGAUAUUUAUAAUCAGUAAUUUCCCUCCCUGCCUCUCCCCUGAUAUGCUACAUUAGAUGAACAGUUACUAUAUUAGCCACAGCGCAGGCAUGAGGAAAGGGGAAACAUGUAAAAACAAGACUUACGCGAAGGAGAAAAUAAGAGUCUACACAGACCGCAAUGUGAAUAGAUUUCUACUUUGGAACUCCAGCUAUUUCUGUUUCUGUUUUCGAAAUCCAACUAGUAUUUUCUCAAGUGAGCAUACAUCAUUCUUUGUAUAGCAUUACUAUGUUAUUCUGGGUAAAAGACUUAAAUGUACAAAAAAAUACAGCUCUAGGAAAGAGGGCAGGGAUGUAUUAAUGAAUUAGACAAUCACAGAGCCUUCAGGCCAUGAUGCCUUAAGUAUUCCUUCAGUGACUGAGGUUUGAAUCUUCUAGUGCGUAUUGCAGAAAGCUUUUAGACAUCUCUUAGCAAAGGGGAAUGAGUGUGCAAGUUUGAAAUAAGUAUUCAUCAACUGGCAUGUACUUUUAUUCAGUAUAUAUGGUUUUAUAUAGUAGGGCAAAUAGAAGACAAAGAAGCAAUGACUUAAGGACUGAUUUGAAUAGCAUUUAUGGAAUACAUGUUGUACCUAUUUUCUACAAAAUAUAACCUCAUUAACAAGGAAUAGCAGAAAUGGGGCAGUUAAUCGUUACGUGUGUACUGCACUCUUUUCCUCCAUAAUGACAAUAAACAAACCUAUGAAUUUGUGCCAGGCAUAACCCACCCAACCAUUAUGUAUAGAGAUAAGAUUCCCAUUUUCUAGAUGAGCGGGUUGAAGCUUUAUAUUAAUUUUACCUAAACAAGUCCACCUGGAAAAAUAUCAGGUAUGUUGUUGAAUAAAAACUGUUUUUGUUGAAGAGUAGAUAUAGUUGGUUUGUAAGCACAUGCGUUAAAAAUGUGAACUUUUACUUGUUUGGAUUUUUGCACUCUGGAGAGCAAAGAGAUAGAAGAAGAGACUUUUAAAAAUCCUUUGAAUUAUAUUUGCGUCUUAUUUAUUAUAAUACCAUAAGGAAAAAAAAAAAGGAAGCCUAAAAGCAAAUGUAACAAGCUGAAGGGACGGCACAUCACCAACAGGUUAUUAUUAUAAAAGAUGGGCUGGGCGCGGUGGCUCACACCUGUAAC